rnacentral:rRNA from 1 species
UAUCAACGCUGGCGGCGCGCUUAACACAUGCAAGUCGAACGAGAAAGGGGAGCAAUCCCUGAGUAAAGUGGCGUACGGGUGAGUAACACGUGGAUAACCUACCCUCUGGUGGGGAAUAACCCUGGGAAACCGGGGCUAAUACCGCAUAAGUCCGGGAGGAGAAAGGCGCAAGUCGCCGGAGGAGGGGUCCGCGGCCGAUUAGCUUGUUGGUGGGGUAACGGCCUACCAAGGCAAAGAUCGGUAGCCGGCCUGAGAGGGCACACGGCCACACUGGCACUGAAACACGGGCCAGACUCCUACGGGAGGCAGCAGUGGGGAAUCUUGCACAAUGGGGGAAACCCUGAUGCAGCGACGCCGCGUGAGCGAUGAAGCCCUUCGGGGUGUAAAGCUCUUUCGACGGGAACGAUGAUGACGGUACCCGGAGAAGAAGCUGCGGCUAACUACGUGCCAGCAGCCGCGGUAAUACGUAGGCAGCGAGCGUUGUUCGGAGUUACAGGGCGUAAAGAGUAUGUAGGCGGUUGCGCGU